GCUUAGAGUUUGAUCCUGGCUCAGGAUGAACGCUAGCGGCAGGCUUAACACAUGCAAGUCGAGGGGCAAGCGGUAGCAAUAUCGCCUAGACCGGCGCACGGGUGAGUAACACGUAUGCAACCUUCCUUUAACUGGGGCACAACUCCGCGAAAGCGGGGCUAAUUCCCCAUAAUAUUGAUCAGGGUCCUCCCUGGACAAUCAAAGCUCUGGCGGUUAAAGAUGGGCAUGCGCAACAUUAGCUAGUUGGCGGGGUAACAGCCCACCAAGGCUACGAUGUUUAGGGGGUCUGAGAGGAUGAUCCCCCACACUGGUACUGAGACACGGACCAGACUCCUACGGGAGGCAGCAGUGAGGAAUAUUGGGCAAUGGGCGCAAGCCUGACCCAGCCAUGCCGCGUGCAGGAAGACGGCCCUAUGGGUUGUAAACUGCUUUUAUUAGGAAAGAAACCCCCGAUCGUGAUCGGGGUUGACGGUACCUAAGGAAUAAGGAUCGGCUAACUCCGUGCCAGCAGCCGCGGUAAUACGGAGGAUCCAAGCGUUAUCCGGAUUUAUUGGGUUUAAAGGGUGCGUAGGCGGAAUAAUAAGUCAGUGGUGAAAUCUUCCGGCUCAACUGGGAAACUGCCAUUGAUACUGUUGUUCUUGAGUAUAUUUGAGGUGGGUGGAAUGUGUCAUGUAGCGGUGAAAUGCUUAGAUAUGACACAGAACGCCAAUUGCGUAGGCAGCUCACUAAACUAUAACUGACGCUGAGGCACGAAAGCGUGGGGAUCAAACAGGAUUAGAUACCCUGGUAGUCCACGCUGUAAACGAUGAUUACUGGAUGUUAGCGAUAUAUUGUUAGCGUCUAAGCGAAAGCAUUAAGUAAUCCACCUGGGGAGUACGGCCGCAAGGCUGAAACUCAAAGGAAUUGACGGGGGCCCGCACAAGCGGAGGAACAUGUGGUUUAAUUCGAUGAUACGCGAGGAACCUUACCUGGGCUCGAACGCCGGACGACUGUCCUGGAAACAGGUCUUCCCUUCGGGGCGGCCGGCGAGGUGCUGCAUGGUUGUCGUCAGCUCGUGCCGUGAGGUGUCGGCUUAAGUGCCAUAACGAGCGCAACCCUUAUCAUUAGUUGCCAGCGGGUCAUGCCGGGGACUCUAGUGAGACUGCCAGCGUAAGCUGUGAGGAAGGUGGGGAUGACGUCAAAUCAGCACGGCCCUUACGUCCAGGGCGACACACGUGUUACAAUGGCCGGUACAAAGGGCAGCCACCUGGCGACAGGGAGCAAAUCUCUAAAACCGGUCUCAGCUCGGAUCGGAGUCUGCAACCCGACUCCGUGAAGUUGGAUUCGCUAGUAGUCGCGCAUCAGCCAUGGCGCGGUGAAUACGUUCCCGGGCCUUGUACACACCGCCCGUCAAGCCAUGGGAGCUGGGGGUGCCUAAAGUCCGUAACCGUAAGGAGCGGCCUAGGGUAAAACCAGUGACUGGGGCUAAGUCGUAACAAGGUAACCAAGCC
rnacentral:rRNA from 1 species